GGGCGAGGUGUCGGAGUGAUGGGCGUAAGCGCGCGCAGGCGGCCUGUUAGGCACGACGUGAAAGCCCCGGGCUCAACCCGGGAGGGUCGUCGUGAACCGGCGGGCUUGAGGCCGGUAGAGGUGGGUGGAACUCCUGGUGGAGUGGUGAAAUGCGUAGAGAUCAGGAAGAACACCCGUGGCGAAGGCGGCCCACUGGGCCGGUACUGACGCUGAGGCGCGAAGGCGUGGGGAGCGAACGGGAUUAGAUACCCCGGUAGUCCACGCAGUAAACGAUGUCGACUCGGUGUGGGCGGUCUUGACCCCGUCCGCGCCACAGCCAACGCGAGAAGUCGACCGCCUGGGGAGUACGGCCGCAAGGCUAAAACUCAAAGGAAUUGACGGGGGCCCGCACAAGCAGCGGAGCGUGUGGUUUAAUUCGACGCAACGCGCAGAACCUUACCAGGGCUUGACAUGCGGAGUUCAGUGGGUGAAAGCCCAUGGGUUCGUCCGAUCCGCACAGAUGCUGCAUGGCUGUCGUCAGCUCGUGUCGUGAGAUGUUGGGUUAAGUCCCGCAACGAGCGCAACCCCUGUGAGCAGUUGCAUGGUUUCUGCUCAGACCGCCGUUUGAAUGCGGAGGAAGGCGGGGAUGACGUCAAGUCAGCAUGGCUCUUACGCCCUGGGCGACACACACGCUACAAUGGCCGGGACAGAGCGUCGCCAACCCGCGAGGGGGAGCCAAUCGCACAAACCCGGUCUCAGUUCAGAUUGGGGGCUGCAACCCGCCCCCAUGAAGGCGGAGUUGCUAGUAACCGUGGGUCAGCCAUACCGCGGUGAAUGUGUUCCCGGGCCUUGUACACACCGCCCGUCACGUCAUGGGAGCUGGCAACACCUGAAGCCGGUGCCCGAACCGCAAGGACGGAGCCGUCGAGGGUGGGGCUGGUGACUGGGACGAAGUCGUAACAAGGUAACC
rnacentral:rRNA from 1 species